CCUACGGGAGGCAGCAGUGGGGGAUAUUGCACAAUGGGGGAAACCCUGAUGCAGCGACGCCGCGUGAGUGAUGAAGUAUUUCGGUAUGUAAAGCUCUAUCAGCAGGGAAGAAAAUGACAGUACCUGACUAAGAAGCCCCGGCUAACUACGUGCCAGCAGCCGCGGUAAUAGUAGGGGGGCAGCGUUAUCCGGAAUUACCGGGUGUAAAGGGAGCGUUGACGGUUAUGUAAGUCCGGAGGGAAAGCCCGGGGCCCAACCCCGGGGCUGCCUUGGAAACUGUGUAACUGGAGUACAGGAGGGGCAGGCGGAAUUCCUGGUGUAGCGGUGAAAUGCGUAGAUAUCAGGAGGAACACCAGCGGCGAAGGCGGCCUGCUGGACUGAAACUGACGUUGAGGCUCGAAAGCGUGGGGAGCAAACAGGAUUAGAUACCCGAGUAGUC
rnacentral:rRNA from 1 species